CAACUCUAUGGCGGUGGAUCACUCGGCUCGU
rnacentral:rRNA from 1 species